CUGCCAUCUCGGCUCACUGCAACCUCCCUGCCUGAUUCUCCUGCCUCAGCCUGCCCAGUGCCUGCGAUUGCAGGCUCGCGCCGCCACGCCUGACUGGUUUUGGUGGAGACGGGGUUUCGCUGUGUUGGCCGGGCCGGUCUCCAGCCCCUAACCGCGAGUGAUCCGCCAACCUCGGCCUCCCGAGGUGCCGGGACUGCAGACGGAGUCUCGUUCACUCAGUGCUCAAUGGUGCCCAGGCUGGAGUGCAGUGGCGUGAUCUCGGCUCACUACAACCUACACCUCCCAGCCGCCUGCCUUGGCCUCCCAAAGUGCCAAGAUUGCAGCCUCUGCCCGGCUGCCACCCCGUCUGGGAAGUGAGGAGUGUCUCUGCCUGGCCGCCCAUCGUCUGGGAUGUGAGGAGCCCCUCUGCCUGGCUGCCCAGUCUGGAAAGUGAGGAGCGUCUCCGCCCGGCCGCCAUCCCAUCUAGGAAGUGAGGAGCGCCUCUUCCCAGCCGCCAUCACAUCUAGGAAGUGAGGAGCGUCUCUGCCUGGCCGCCCAUCCUCUGAGAUGUGGGGAGCGCCUCUGCCCCGCCGCCCCAUCUGGGAUGUGAGGAGCGCCUCUGCCCGGCCGAGACCCCGUCUGGGAGGUGAGGAGCGUCUCUGCCCGGCCGCCCCGUCUGAGAAGUGAGGAGACCCUCUGCCCGGCAACCACCCCGUCUGAGAAGUGAGGAGCCCCUCCGCCCGGCAGCUGCCCCGUCUGAGAAGUGAGGAGCCUCUCCGCCCGGCAGCCACCCCAUCUGGGAAGUGAGGAGCGUCUCCGCCCGGCAGCCACCCCGUCCGGGAGGGAGGUGGGGGGGUCAGCCCCCCGCCUGGCCAGCCGCCCCGUCCGGGAGGGAGGUGGGGGGGUGAGCCCUCCGCCCGGCCAGCCGCCCCGUCUGGGAGGUGAGGGGCGCCUCUGCCCGGCCGCCCCUACUGGGAAGUGAGGAGCCCCUCUGCCCGGCCAGCCGCCCCGUCCGGGAGGGAGGUGGGGGGGUCGGCCCCCCGCCCGGCCAGCCGCCCCGUCCGGGAGGGAGGUGGGGGGGUCAGCCCUCCGCCCGGCCAGCCGCCCCGUCCGGGAGGGAGGUGGGGAUGUCGGCCCCCCGCCCGGCCAGCCGCCCCAUCCGGGAGGGAGGUGGGGGGGUCAGCCCCCCGCCCGGCCAGCCGCCCCGUCCGGGAGGGAGGUGGGGGGGGGUCAGCCCCCCCGCCCGGCCAGCCGCCCCGUCCGGGAGGUGAGGGGUGCCUCUGCCCGGCCGCCCCUACUGGGAAGUGAGGAGCCCCUCUGCCCGGCCAGCCGCCCCGUCCGGGAGGGAGGUUGGGGGGUCAGCCCCCCGCCCGGCCAGCCGCCCCGUCCGGGAGGGAGGUGGGGGGGGUCAGCCCCCCUGCCCGGCCAGCCGCCCCGUCCGGGAGGUGAGGGGCGCCUCUGCCCGGCCGCCCCUACUGGGAAGUGAGGAGCCCCUCUGCCCGGCCACCACCCCGUCUGGGAGGUGUGCCCAACAGCUCAUUGAGAACGGGCCAGGAUGACAAUGGCGGCUUUGUGGAAUAGAAAGGCGGGAAAGGUGGGGAAAAGAUUGAGAAAUCGGAUGGUUGCCGUGUCUGUGUAGAAAGAAGUAGACAUGGGAGACUUUUCAUUUUGUUCUGCACUAAGAAAAAUUCCUCUGCCUUGGGAUCCUGUUGAUCUGUGACCUUACCCCCAACCCUGUGCUCUCUGAAACAUGUGCUGUGUUGUCCACUCAGGAUUAAAUGGAUUAAGGGCGGUGCAAAAAAAAAAAAAAAAGAAAUUUAGCAUUUAAUUUUAAGCAGAAACUCUGCCCUCAAACCUUAUUAAUCAGACUAUGACAGGAGUAAAACACAAGAAUGGUGUUCAACAUUCUUGUGAAUGAUUCUUUCUUUUCUCAUCCAAGAUUGAUGAGAAAAACCUCCACCCAAGGUAUCAAAAGUUUAAUACUGAUUCUGUUCUCCUCUCUUUUGAAUACAUAAACUAGCUAGAUGACAAUAUCAUUCCACUUUUUACUAUUAUCUGUCAGCUGUCAAUUACAACAACAACCCCAAAAAAAUUAAAUCUUGACAGACAUCAUUGUUUCAGAUGCCUCUGGAAGAGAGAGGAGAGGGAAAAAAAAAUUGUUGGAAAGUUCUUUACAGCCCUGUGAGACUAAGUAAAAGAGACCUUAUCAUUAUUCAAAAGGUAGAGUUCUGGAGAAAACAAAGACCUAAAAUAAAUUAACCUAGACAGAAGAAAAAGACUUGGGUGAUUUAGUAGCAGUACUGCCCUCAGUGACUCAAUGUUUGCAAUAAGGAAUGGGUAGUAUCAGCUUUCCUGAUACAUAAAAUAUCACUUGUAUUAUUUCCUCUUCAAUGAGCAAAGAGAAGUAAUAACCUGGCAUCACAAAGAAAAAUAAAUUAUCCACAUAGUAACUUUCUGAUAAACUCUUGGCUGUCCAGCAGAAGGCCCAGCUGGGAAGAAAGUGCUGUGGACUACAGCUUGGCUCCAUCCCACGCCAGCCCUCUGACCCUGGGGCUGGAUCGUCUCUGGAUGAGGGGGUUGCUCAGGUGAUCUCUAAGGGCCUGCUCACCUUAAAGAAUUUACAAAUGUGAGAUGUUUUAAUUCGGUCUUUAAACUUACUUGAUGCUUCCUGGGAAACAGCCCCAUUUUAGUGGUGAUGGAAAUUAUCUCUACAGAGAACCUUAGGAAUGAUACUAGUUCUGUCUUACAACUAGCAUAAACAGGGGCAGAUCACCAAGUCGGCCCCAAAGGGCCUGUGGCUUUGGCUCUGGCUCUGGCUCUUCUCUCUAAACCAAUGCUACUCAACUUUGCCCCACAGGGGACAUUCAGCAAUAGCUAGAGACAUUUUUGGUUGUCACAACUUGGGAGGCAGAAGGUGUGCGGAUUCUAACAAAAGUCUGGGUCCCUACCAUUAUAAUUUUAAAACCAUUGCAUUUACAGAAUUAUCCCACUUGGGCUUUUUAUGGCAGUAUAUUCAUACCUUGGUAUACCACACACAGCAAUGGAAAAGAAACUACAGACUACACAGAACAUGGAUGAAUUUCACAGACAUCACAAUGAGCUGAAGAAGCCAGAUACAAAAAGAAAAAAAAAAAAGCACCGUAUGACUCCAUUUAUAUGGAUCUUAAAAACAGAAAAAAUGAAUCUAUGGGACUAAAGAUCAGAAUACUGGUUAUCCUUGGGAGUGUAGGGGGAGUGCUGAUUGGGAGAAAGCACAGCAGAGCUUUUCGGGUACUAAGGACUGAACUGUAUUCUCUCAGAAUUCCUGUGUUGAAGCCCUACCCCACAAUGUGAUGCUAUUUGGAGAUGGGGUCUUUGGGAAGUAAUUAGACUCAGAUGAGGUGACGUGGGUGGGGUCUUCAGGAUGGGAUAAGUGCCCUUAGACACACCAGAAAGCUUGCUUUCCUCCACCUACCUCUCCCCACACAUACACAUCAAAGAAAGGUCUUGACUACACACUGAGCAGCGAGGAAGAGGGCCCUCACCAGAACCCAACUAUGCUGGCAUCCUGAUCUCGGACUUCCAGCCUCCAAAACUGUGAGGAAAUAAAUUUCUGUUUAAGCCAGAACAACAGAUAUUUUGAUAUUUUAUUAUGGUGAUCUGAGCUGACCAAAGUACCAGAAAUGCUUUAUAUUUCAAUAUGGACAGUGGUCACAUAAGUGAAUAAAUGUGUAAAAAUUCCCUAAGCUGUAUACUUAAGGUUGACUCACAGUUUUUUAGAAGGAAUAGCAAGAAACAAAGCACUGACUUAGCAAGAAACAACCUAGCAUUACCAAGGUGAGAGUUGGGAGACUUUUCUACUUUUCAUUUGAUUCCCUUGUCAGGGCAAAUUCUUUUCCAUGAGUAUAUGUGAUCUUACAUAAUUUUUAAUAACUUGUUAAUUUUAAUAUUGCUCUAAAUUCCCUACUUCACAGUGUGUGUCUCACCACUGCCCUUGAAGACUCAAUGGCAAUGACUGUCAAAUCCACACCUGCCCCCGUGCACUCAAACUCCAACCGUGAGUUUCCAGGCACCACUGGUGCAUCUCCUCUCAAGCACAUAACUGUCACACCCACCAUGUCUCCAAAUGCAGUUAUCCACCCCCAACUCCUCCUCCGCCUCUGCCCCUGGCUUCUGUCUCCCAGGUUCUAACUCACCCUGUUCCUUUGCAUCUCUGUGUUACCUCAGAUUGUUUACUUACAGGUGUCCCUCCACUCUCAGACUCAGAAACCAAACACAUGUAGAUACAUUUUUCCAUAGCAAGCAGGCAGGUAUUCCUCAUUAUCCAAACUAUUGCUACUCUCUAACUAAAACUCAGGAAACGAAAUACUACAGACUCAGAUAACAUGAUAUUCCUCACUCUCCAAACUCUCAUUACCGAAACAGAUUAUUUAUUUAUUUAUUUUUGAGAUGGAAUCUCGCUUUGUUGCCCAGGCUGGAGUGCAAUAGCGUGAUCUCAGCUCACUGCAACCUCCACCUCCCGGUUUCAAGCAAUUCUCCUGCUGACUCAGUCUCCUGGGUAGCUGGGAUUACAGGCACGUGCCAUCACGCCAGGGUAAUUUUUGUAUUUUUAGUAGAGAUGGUGUUUCACCAUGUUGGCUAGGCUGGUCUUGAACUCCUGACCUCAGGUGAUCUGCCUGCCUCAGCCUCCCAAAGUGCUGGCCUUACAGGCGUGAGCCACUGCACCCAGCUCCUAAACAGAUUUAAAUAGCAUGGGGUAUUUAUAUUUUUGCAACAUCCUCUAACUAUUGCUUUCAUCCCCAUCACUACCACCUAAGGCCAGACCUUCAUUCCUUUAAGUCUAAGUCCUUCUUACAUGCUAGAACAUGGGCUUCCUCCUCCUAGCCCUGCCCCCAACUCUAUGCACCCUACUCUCUGUGGCCACCUCUAGCUUCCUUUUUUUUUUUUUUUGAGACGGAGUUUCACUUUUGUCCCCCAGGCUGGAGUGCAAUGAUGAGAUCUCAGCUCACUGCAACUUCCACCUCCCAGGUUCAAGCGAUUCUCCUGCCUCAGCCUCCCGAGUAACUGGGAUAACAGGCACGCACCACCAUGCCCAGCUAAUUUUUGGGGUUUCACCAUGUUUGCCACGCUGGUCUCGAACUCCUGACCUCAAGUGAUCCGCUCGCCUUGGCCUCCCAAAGUGCUAGGAAUACAGGCGAGGGCCACUGCGCCCGACCCCAUCUCUCUUUCUGACACGGCUGUUGCCCCUGCUCAAAAAACCUCACUGGCUCCCAUUCACAGGGAUCCAUCCAGGUGAGUCACUGCUUUUAACUUUCUACCUCCCAGAAUAAACCUUGUGUACCAGUCACUUGAUUUACUUGGUCCCUGACUAUCCUUGCACAUGUCCUGCUCUGUGCCAUUUUUCCCAAAAAGAAACACCUACCCAACCUUCCACUGCAGCCCUGAGCUCCAGCCAGCUCCUUCACUCUUUAGCUCGAUGACUUUGGGCAAAUUAAUUACUCUCUCUGGGCCUCAUCUGUGAAAUGGAAAAAUAACUGCAUCUCCCUCACCUGUCACAAAGUAACCACUCAAUAAACAUUAGCUAUCAUUAUUACCACCAACUCAAGUCCUACCUACCAAAUGGUCUUCCUCAAUACACAUUACCUACAGAAAGUUUCCCUCAUCUAAAUUCCUUUUACUCCAUUCAUUUAUUUGCCCGACAUCAUCUCCUGAGCUCUGUCUGUGUAUGAGUCCCCACUAUGGGCUUUAUUUGUAUAAUCUAAUGUCAUCCUCACAGCAGACCUCUGGUGUCCAAAGGGACCAACUGGUACACAGGUUUUUCAGCAGGGCAACAGCCGUGUCAGAAAGAUAGAGAUGGGCACAGACAGUAGGGUGCAUGGAGUGGGAGGGGUUAGGGGGAGGAAGGCCGUAUUCUAGCAUCUAACAAAGACUUGGACCUUCCCCAUCUUCCUCAUUUCAGUAAAUAGUAUCUUCAUGCUAGAAGUUGCUCAGGUCUAAAACCGUGGCAUUGUCCUUGACUUCUUUUCUCCUCUUAUACCCUACAUUAGCAAUUCAUUUCUACACUACAUUUAUUCAUAUAUACAUGAGUCAGACCCACUUUUUGUCUCUUCUACCACUAUCAUCCUGGUGCAAGCCACUCUCAUGUGUCACAUCUGGGUGAUAUAGUAGCUUCCUGUCUCCCUGUUCUUACUUUGUCCCCUCCCACUUCCCAGUCUGUUCUCCACACCACACUGGGAAGGAUCCUCUAAAGGGGCUCAAACCUUCAAUAGCCCCCGUCACUCACAGGCUGAGAUCCAAAGUCCUUACCCUGUGCUGUGAGGCCUACAUGACUGUCCCCGACCCAACUCCUUCUGUUACCACUCUUCCCCAGGAUUAUGUACUUUGGUCCUAUGGCCUUCCACUCUUCUUCAAAUAUGCUAAAUACACUGCUGACUUGGGCUUUCAGUCACUGUUUCCUCUGCAUCUGCAGGAAUAUUCUCCUCCAAAAUACCUACCUAGCUAACCCCCUUAAUUCCUUCAAAUCUCUGCUCAAAGGUUUCCUUUUUAAAGAAGCUUCUCAGCACACCCCAGCUAAAGCAGCCCCACCGUCCACUCUACCACAUUUCUGUUUUACCUCGUUGGUAGUAUGUUAUCAAUUUCUGGCAUCACAUGCCUACCUGUUUGUUCAUUUAUUGUCUGUCUCCUAACAGGCUCCUUGAGUCUGGGAACCUUGUCUGGUCUGUCCACAGCCCCAUUCCCAGUACACUGAACAACAGCACCUAAUGCUCAAUAAAUAUGUGUUAAAUGAAUGAAGGAAGGAAGAGAAGACUAUAACUUUGGUGUACCUAACAGAUCAAUGUAGGAAUUUUUGGCAAGGUUUGAGAAAGUUUCUUCUGGCUUUUAGCAACUGUGUAUGGGGGAUCUAGCUGUUUGAGGACACAGUUGAAGCUAUAAAAAAGUAUAAAGCUAUAAAAUAUUUCAAACGUUAUGUUAUUCAGGGGAGAAGAGAUGGAGGUAUUAACAGACAUUAAUACAAGGCAAAUAAGUGAGCUAGGAGGACUCUAAUCUAUCAAAACAAAGGGGAUUCUCAUAUCUCUAUGUCCAGCCCAACUCUUUUCCCAAGCCAGUAUUUCCAACUGUCCACCUAAUACCUACACCUGGAUGACUCAUGGGUGCCUCAAACUACACAUGUCCCAAAUCAGACUCAUCACUUCUCUCUCCUUAGCCACUGCCACCACCAAUGCUUCCUUCUCGUGGGUUCCCAGUCUCUUUUCGUAAAACAAUUAGCACACAGUCAGGUAAGCCAGGAACCACCUUCAAGUCACCCCAGCGCCCCUUUCACCUCCUCAACACUCAGCCAAUCUCAAGCUCUACUUCUCAAACCUUUUGCAAAGUCAUACCCUCAUCUCUCGCCCCUUCUCUGACUUGCACGCCGACUAAGCCUUCUUGUUCCUCCAAUCAACCUCCCCAUGGUCAGGGAGGUCUUUCUGAAAUGCUUUCCUGCCUUAAGUCCAUCAGGGACACCUUCCAUCCCCUACAGAAUAAGAUGCUCAUGUUUUGACAGAGCUAUAAAGGGUGCUCUCCAUAGAACAGACACUGCCACCCUUACUAUCCUCAUCCCUCGCUGCCUUCCCCCAAUUAUAUACCCUAGCAAUUCUCUAUUCUUUGGGGUGCCUGUUUCCUCCCUUCAUACUCCUGUACAUGCUAAGUACACACUCUCUAUAACACAUCCCCAACCCUAUCUUGUCACAUGGGGAACUCCUAUGUAUGCUGCAGCCAGCUGGGAAAGUCCCACCUAUGCCAACCCCUCCCACACUACUCUGAAUCUUCUAUACUGUUCUUCCCUAGUGCAGCAGUUGUGAUUAUUUCAUCACACAUAUGUCUCCCUCUCUAGUGGCAAAUUUCCUAUAGGGUAAGGUCCACAGAUGCUCAACUCUGAGUCCUCAGCAUUAAGUCUGGCACAUAACAGGAUCAGAUACAUAUUUGUUGAAUUAAAGUGACCUGUUCCCUGAACACACCAGUGAAAGAUCUUCCCUCUAACUCCAUAUUCUUUAAAUAAACUUUUUCAUGAGGAGUGGGCCCUCUCACCUUCGGAUCUUUGCUCCAACCUGUCCCCCUCCUUGGCACAUCCAUCUUUCUGUCAACCUUAUUUUCUACAUCAGUCUAUGAAGAGGCUGGUUCAGACCCUCAGGCUCACCACAUCUCCAGCUGUUCACACUGCACGGUCUUUGCACCUGCUCUACCCACUACCAGCAAUGCUCUCAGAUAGUCCCAUGACCUGCUCAUUCAUUUCAAGCAGGUCUCUAUUCAAAUAUCCCUGUCCUCCUUUAAGAAACAGCCCUGACAUCACACUUCCUAUCUGUGCUUUUAUUGCUAGUGGUACCCUCCACAGGCUUAUCAGUUCAAUGAGGGCAGGCCUGUCUCAUUCACCACUGCAUCCCCAUGCCUGCAAGAGUGCCAGUAACAUUCAUCUAGUUCAUAUUUUUUGAGCACCUACUGUGUGCCAGACCUAGGUGCUAGGAACACAUCAGUGAACAAAACAGAUAAAAAUCCCCUCACUCACAUUCUACAGGGGGAAGACAACAAUACACAAGAAAAAUACGUGAAAUAUAAGUGCUAAGAACAACUAAAGCAAUGAAGGGAGGCGGGAAAUGGGGAAAGCCUCACUAGGUGCCUCCCUAGUGAAGACCUGGAAGAAGUGAGUGCAAACUACAUGGAUAUUAACUUGCAAGCACAAAUGCCCUGAGGCUAAAGCAUGUCUGACGUUUGGAAAGGGAGGGAGCAGAAAAUGAGACUGGGAAAGUAACAGUGGGUCAGAUUAUGUAAAGCCUUAUAGCUCACUGUAAAGGGGUUUGUCUAUCAUUAUUAAUGAGAUGGGGACCCAUUGGAGGGUUUUUUUUUUCUUUUAAGUAAAGGAAUGAUACGAUCUGACAGCCUGUGUUUUAAAAAGAUCCCUCUAGCUGCUGUGCAAAAAACAGGGGCCAGGACAGAAGCAGGAAGACCAAAUGGGAAACUAUUUCAAUAAUCCAAACCAGAGGUGGUGACCUGGCCCAGGGUGGCAAGUAUUAUUUGUGGCGUGAAAAACAGAAGACUGGGUGUGGUGGCCCACACCUGUAAUUCCAACACUUUUGUGGGAGGCCGAAAUGGGCGGAUCACUUGAGGCCAGGAGUUCAAGACCAGCCUGGCCAACAUGGUGAAAUCCCGUCUCUACUAAAAAUACAAAAAUUAGCCAGGUGAGGUGGUACACGCCUGUAAUCCCAGCUACUUGGGAGGCCGAAGUAGGAGAAUCACUUGAGCCUGGGAGGCAGAGGUUGCAGUCACACGAUGACACGAGAUCGCACCACUGCACUCCAGACUGAGCGACCGAGGGAGACUGUCUCAAAAGAAAAAAAAAAAAAGGAAAGAAAAGAAAAAGAAAGACAGCAGUCAACGAUGGCUCAAAAGUUAUUAGCCAAGGUCUUUCCUAUUAUUGAGAUGAGAAAAAAGAGGCAACAGGAGCAGUUUGGGGAGAGUAAUGAAGGGGAGCUUGCUAGCCCUCUCUUGGCAUGUUUAAUUUGAGUUGCCUAUAACCCAUCUCAGUGGAGAUAUUAAGUGGGUGGCUGGAUAAAAGUCAGGGGUGAGACCUGCGAUGGAGAUAUAAAUACGGAAUCUGUUAGCCUCUGAUAUGUAUGUAUUUAAUGCUAUGAAAUCACCAUCAAUGAAAAUAAAAAUAUUGCAAACACAAAUGCACAAAGGAGAAUUUAAAGAAAAAAAAAUAAAGAAGAAAAGCUAGGAUGACCGAGGAUACCCUCCCACAUACCCUGGAAAGAAUACAAAAAGGUGACCCUCGCUUUUGCUGAAAGACAACUCGGUCAAAAUAAAAAUUAAAUAAAUAAAACCUCCUUCCCACGUCUGGCAGAAGGGCAAAUCCAGACCAGAGGCUCUGUCAACGUGUCUUUCAUACUUUCACCAAGGACCCAUGGGGUCGGCCCCAUAAUUUUUUCAAAAGAAACCCAGUGAACUUGGGCAUCGCCUCUGCAGGGAACGGGAUGGAGUAAGCACAGAGAAGGGUGGGCCACCCCUGGGUUCCAAUCACCAGCAUCCUCCUGGAUGUACAAAAGGUAAGCCAAGGGUUGGGAUAAGUUCCCCUCGCCCCAAAGACCCCUUCCCUCGCAGAGCAACGCCUCCCUACAGGGUGUGUCCACGAGGGGUAGGCAAGCAGGCAGGGCACGGUCAGGAAGGUAAGCAGGCGGGGCGUUGUGGCGCAGGCUUAGGCAGGGUGGGCUCGCGGGGCACGAGGUGG
rnacentral:lncRNA from 1 species